UACGGAGGGUGCAAGCGUUAUCCGGAUUCACUGGGUUUAAAGGGUGCGUAGGUGGGCCUGUAAGGCAGCGGUGAAAUCUCCGGGCUUAACCCGGAAACUGCCAUUGAUACUAUAGGUCUUGAAUUAUCUGGAGGUAAGCGGAAUAUGUCAUGUAGCGGUGAAAUGCUUAGAUAUGACAUAGAACACCAAUUGCGAAGGCAGCUUACUACGGAUACAUUGACACUGAGGCACGAAAGCGUGGGGAUCAAACAGG
rnacentral:rRNA from 1 species